rnacentral:tRNA from 1 species
GGAAGUAUGGCUCAGUGGUAGAGCAUUUGGCUAGCACUCAUGAAACCCUGGGUUUGAUUCUCAGCAUUGCAA